GGGUUGUGAGGUUAAGCGACUAAGCGUACACGGUGGAUGCCCUGGCAGUCAGAGGCGAUGAAGGACGUGCUAAUCUGCGAUAAGCGUCGGUAAGGUGAUAUGAACCGUUAUAACCGGCGAUUUCCGAAUGGGGAAACCCAGUGUGAUUCGUCACACUAUCAUUAACUGAAUCCAUAGGUUAAUGAGGCGAACCGGGGGAACUGAAACAUCUAAGUACCCCGAGGAAAAGAAAUCAACCGAGAUUCCCCCAGUAGCGGCGAGCGAACGGGGAGGAGCCCAGAGCCUGAAUCAGUGUGUGUGUUAGUGGAAGCGUCUGGAAAGGCGCGCGAUACAGGGUGACAGCCCCGUACACAAAAAUGCACAUAUUGUGAGCUCGAUGAGUAGGGCGGGACACGUGGUAUCCUGUCUGAAUAUGGGGGGACCAUCCUCCAAGGCUAAAUACUCCUGACUGACCGAUAGUGAACCAGUACCGUGAGGGAAAGGCGAAAAGAACCCCGGCGAGGGGAGUGAAAAAGAACCUGAAACCGUGUACGUACAAGCAGUGGGAGCACGCUUAGGCGUGUGACUGCGUACCUUUUGUAUAAUGGGUCAGCGACUUAUAUUCUGUAGCAAGGUUAACCGAAUAGGGGAGCCGAAGGGAAACCGAGUCUUAACUGGGCGUUAAGUUGCAGGGUAUAGACCCGAAACCCGGUGAUCUAGCCAUGGGCAGGUUGAAGGUUGGGUAACACUAACUGGAGGACCGAACCGACUAAUGUUGAAAAAUUAGCGGAUGACUUGUGGCUGGGGGUGAAAGGCCAAUCAAACCGGGAGAUAGCUGGUUCUCCCCGAAAGCUAUUUAGGUAGCGCCUCGUGAAUUCAUCUCCGGGGGUAGAGCACUGUUUCGGCAAGGGGGUCAUCCCGACUUACCAACCCGAUGCAAACUGCGAAUACCGGAGAAUGUUAUCACGGGAGACACACGGCGGGUGCUAACGUCCGUCGUGAAGAGGGAAACAACCCAGACCGCCAGCUAAGGUCCCAAAGUCAUGGUUAAGUGGGAAACGAUGUGGGAAGGCCCAGACAGCCAGGAUGUUGGCUUAGAAGCAGCCAUCAUUUAAAGAAAGCGUAAUAGCUCACUGGUCGAGUCGGCCUGCGCGGAAGAUGUAACGGGGCUAAACCAUGCACCGAAGCUGCGGCAGCGACGCUUAUGCGUUGUUGGGUAGGGGAGCGUUCUGUAAGCCUGCGAAGGUGUGCUGUGAGGCAUGCUGGAGGUAUCAGAAGUGCGAAUGCUGACAUAAGUAACGAUAAAGCGGGUGAAAAGCCCGCUCGCCGGAAGACCAAGGGUUCCUGUCCAACGUUAAUCGGGGCAGGGUGAGUCGACCCCUAAGGCGAGGCCGAAAGGCGUAGUCGAUGGGAAACAGGUUAAUAUUCCUGUACUUGGUGUUACUGCGAAGGGGGGACGGAGAAGGCUAUGUUGGCCGGGCGACGGUUGUCCCGGUUUAAGCGUGUAGGCUGGUUUUCCAGGCAAAUCCGGAAAAUCAAGGCUGAGGCGUGAUGACGAGGCACUACGGUGCUGAAGCAACAAAUGCCCUGCUUCCAGGAAAAGCCUCUAAGCAUCAGGUAACAUCAAAUCGUACCCCAAACCGACACAGGUGGUCAGGUAGAGAAUACCAAGGCGCUUGAGAGAACUCGGGUGAAGGAACUAGGCAAAAUGGUGCCGUAACU
rnacentral:rRNA from 1 species